AUACUCUGGUUUCUCUUUAGAUCGUAUAAAAAUCUUUUUCCUUAUGCUAAAGAUUUCUUUGGCAAGGAACAACUCUGAGUCUUAAGCCAAUUUUUUUAGGCCUUGUUUCUGUAAGGCU
ensembl:snRNA U5 U5 spliceosomal RNA